CUGAUGGAAGCAAAGAAGUAAAUCUAGGAGGUUACAUCACUCCCUCUAUUUCAAAAAAGUUUUCUGCUUGUAGAUCAAGUACUACUAGUAUAGGGGAGCCUCAUUGUGCUUACUCACUAAAAUAGUAUCGCAAACUGAAAUAGCUACUGUGCACGCUUGCAGUUCGUCUGAGUCCUCGUAUUUGUGAGGUCAACACUGCAGGUCGUUUCUUUCAUGCACAUUAUCUUCCUGAGAUAAGACCUGGAUUAAUCUCUUCUUUAGAAUGACAGAGCAGCUGCAACAUGUGCCCGGUUCCAGAUACAGGAGGAGAAGCCCAACCUCAUCGAAAUCAAUGGGAGGGCAGCUACUUCCUAAUGAUUCUUCCUUUGAAAACAUUUCAGGAGCGAGACAAGAAAAAGAAGACCUUGUGAUAACACAACGCAGGAUGUGCCUUUUGUUUCCGAUGCCUGCCAUAUUCAACCAGCUUGUCAUGGCGUGCCAUUCUGGUGUGACUUUGUGCCAGGCAAGGGUUAUCCCUCCAGCCUGGCCUCUGCUCUUUGUCACUGCCCUCCUGUGGAGAGCAGCUAUGACAGAUGGGCAUAUCUAACAUUUUCUUAAUUUGGCUCUUUCAAACAUCUCAAUUUCAG
rnacentral:lncRNA from 1 species